rnacentral:rRNA from 1 species
AGGACGAACGCUGGCGGCGUGCUUAACACAUGCAAGUCGAACGGAAAGGCCCGCUUGCGGGUACUCGAGUGGCGAACGGGUGAGUAACACGUGGGCAACCUGCCCUCAGCUUCGGGAUAACAUUUGGAAACAGGUGCUAAUACCGGAUAAUAACCUUUCAUCGCAUGGUGUGGGGUUCAAAGUUUUUCGGCUGGGGAUGGGCCCGCGGCCUAUCAGCUUGUUGGUGGGGUAAUGGCCUACCAAGGCGACGACGGGUAGCCGGCCUGAGAGGGCGACCGGCCACACUGGGACUGAGACACGGCCCAGACUCCUACGGGAGGCAGCAGUGGGGAAUAUUGCGCAAUGGGCGGAAGCCUGACGCAGCGACGCCGCGUGAGGGAUGACGGCCUUCGGGUUGUAAACCGUCUUUCAGCUCUGACGAAGCGAGAGUGACGGUAGGAGCGAGAAGAAGCACCGGCCAACUACGUGCCAGCAGCCGC